rnacentral:rRNA from 1 species
UACGUAGGGUGCAAGCGUUUGUUCGGAAAUCAUUGGGCGUAAAGCGCGUGUAGGUGGUUAAUUUAAGUCGAUUGUGAAAGGCCCUCGGCUCAACCGAGGAAGUGCAGUCGAAACUGACUAGCUAGAGGACGGCAGAGGAAGGUGGAAUUCCAAGUGUAGAGGUGAAAUUCGUAGAUAUUAGGAAGAACACCAGUGGCGGAAGGCGGCCCACUGGAUC